GACGAACGCUGGCGGCGUGCUUAACACAUGCAAGUCACGGGGGGUCGCAAGACCAACCGGCGAACGGGUGCGUAACACGUGAGCAACCUACCGAUUUGAGGGGGAUAGCUGGCCUAACGGCCAGGUAAUACCGCAUACGCUUGUAAAGCCUCCUGGCUUAACAAGGAAACCUCCGGGGCAGAUCGAGGGGCUCGCGGCCUAUCAGCUAGUUGGUGAGGUCAUAGCUCACCAAGGCGACGACGGGAGCUGGUCUGAGAGGAUGGCCAGCCACAUUGGGACUGAGAAACGGCCCAGACUCCUACGGGAGGCAGCAGUGGGGAAUCUUGCGCAAUGGACGAAAGUCUGACGCAGCGACGCCGCGUGGGGAUGAAGGCUUUCGGUUGUAAACCCUGUUGCCGGACGAACGACCUCUUCGAGAGGUGUGACGGUACCGGUGAGGAAGCACCGGCUAACU
rnacentral:rRNA from 1 species